AUGGAGAAAAAAGCAGUAGCAGCCUUGUCCUUCCUCUUCCUCGUUCUCUUUGUUGCACAAGAAAUAGCGGUGAGUGAGGCAAAAACUUGUGAGAAUCUGUCAGACACAUUCAAGGGACCAUGCAUUCCAGAUGGUAACUGUAACAAGCAUUGCAAGAACAAUGAGCACUUACUUAGUGGAAGGUGCAGGGAUGAUUUUCGCUGCUGGUGCACUAGAAACUGUUAA